AUGGCUCAGGACGAACGCUGGCGGCGUGCUUAACACAUGCAAGUCGAACGGGGAAUAGAAGGAAGCUUGCGAAUUCUAUUCGUAGUGGCGGACGGGUGAGUAACGCGUGGGUAACCAACCCAUAACACCGGGACAACCCUGGGAAACUGGGGGCUAAUACCGGAUACGUUCUUUCUGGGGCAUCCUGGGGAGAAGAAAGGCGGCCUCUGAAUAUGCUGCCGAUUAUGGACGGACCCGCGUCUGAUUAGCUAGUUGGUGGGGUAACGGCCUACCAAGGCGACGAUCAGUAGCCGGCCUGAGAGGGUGACCGGCCACACUGGGACUGAGGACACGGCCCAGACUCCUACGGGAGGCAGCAGUGGGGAAUAUUGCGCAAUGGGCGAAAGCCUGACGCAGCAAAACCGCCGCGUGAGUGAGGAAGGCCUUCGGGUUGUAAAGCUCUGUCUUUUUGGACGAAACCUAAUUGGUAAAUAGCCAAUCAGAUGACGGUAACAAGAAAAGGAAGCCCCGGCUAACUACGUGCCAGCCGCCGC
rnacentral:rRNA from 1 species